rnacentral:misc_RNA from 1 species
GAGAAGAACGCAGCGAAAUGCGAUAAGUAAUGCGAAUUGCAGAAUUUCCGUGAGUCAUCGAAUCUUUGAACGCACAUUGCGCCCACUGGUAUUCCGGUGGGCAUGCCUGUUCGAGCGUCAUUAUCCUCCCUCAAACCCCGGGUUUGGUGUUGGACCCAAGUUGUGUGAACAACUGGUCUCAAAGACAAUGACGGCGUCCGUGGGACCCUCGGUGCAACGAGCUUUUAGGAGCACGCAUCGAGUUGCAAGGACCUUCCGGGCCGGUCUCCUUUACCAUUUUACAAGGUUGACCUCGGAUCAGGUAGGAAUACCCGCUGAACUUAAGCAUAUCAAUAAGCGGAGGA